AAGAAUGCUGAGAAUAGAAAGCUUAUUUACAACAAAUUCAAACAGUACACCAAGGAGUACGCAGAGAAGUAAGUCGUCGGCAAAAAUGGUUUCCUUCGAGAUGAAUGAUCGGAAAAAUCCUCUUCUUCUCAGGGGUGACUUUAACAAGGGAUUAUUGGAGUUGUGUAGAUACUUUUCACGAAGAGGAGCAAACGUGAAAGAAGAAAAGAAAACAAAGCUUUGACUAUGGAAUUGUUGGCUGUGGCAUAUUUG